AGAUUCUUCCACAAAAUGGCAGCUUUGUACUUGAAAAUUAAAGAGACAUUGCCAACCAUGUCACCUUAUUUCCAUUUAAUGGCACUUGCGUUACCUCUAAUUUUCUUAAACAAAGAAUCUUUAUCAGUAAGACCCUAUUCUCCAACAGUUGUUAAAGGUCAAGAUCGCCAGAUAAUCAAUACAUACUGUACCAACUUGAACAGAUGCAGAAUUUUAUCCUGGUCAGUUUGCUGGUGCUUUUGGCCACUACAGAGGCUGGGGUGGUGAAGUGUCGAGCGGGGUGUGGGAAUGCAUUUGAGGACUGCUGAAUAUCCCUCUGUAAUGGAAAUGUCCAAGUAACUGGCGUCAUCCAAACAUUACACUGCCACUAUAACCAGACGGUGGACUCACAUUUAGCCUACCACCAUCACUGUGGGCUAGAGUGCCAUGACAAAUUCCUGAACUGUACCAUGGGGUGUGGAAGCAUUGACCCAACCCUCAUCGGGAAAUAAUAUUUCUUAUUGAAUGAUAUACAGUCAUUAUCUGCAAAA